UGGGGAAUUUUGGACAAUGGGCGAAAGCCUGAUCCAGCAAUGCCGCGUGUGUGAAGAAGGCCUUCGGGUUGUAAAGCACUUUUGUCCGGAAAGAAAUCCUUGGCUCUAAUACAGUCGGGGGAUGACGGUACCGGAAGAAUAAGCACCGGCUAACUACGUGCCAGCAGCCGCGGUAAUACGUAGGGUGCAAGCGUUAAUCGGAAUUACUGGGCGUAAAGCGUGCGCAGGCGGUUUGCUAAGACCGAUGUGAAAUCCCCGGGCUCAACCUGGGAACUGCAUUGGUGACUGGCAGGCUAGAGUAUGGCAGAGGGGGGUAGAAUUCCACGUGUAGCAGUGAAAUGCGUAGAGAUGUGGAGGAAUACCGAUGGCGAAGGCAGCCCCCUGGGCCAAUACUGACGCUCAUGCACGAAAGCGUGGGGAGCAAACAGGAUUAGAUACCCUGGUAGUCCACGCCCUAAACGAUGUCAACUAGUUNUUGGGGAUUCAUUUCCUUAGUAACGUAGCUAACGCGUGAAGUUGACCGCCUGGGGAGUACGGUCGCAAGAUUAAAACUCAAAGGAAUUGACGGGGUCAUAGCUGUUUCCU
rnacentral:rRNA from 1 species